GUGUUCACUUCAGCUGCACAUAUGCCUGAAAUUGGAAUGUCACCGAGAUUAGCAUGGUUCCUGCACAAGGAUGACAGAUUCAUGAAGCAUAUUUAAACAUUAAUU
rnacentral:snRNA from 1 species